CGUGGCAAGGAAGCUGACGCGAGACAGAGCCACAUGGGCGAUCCGCGUGCACGCGAUCGAACGGCCCAAAUCUCACACGCACGGACGGCCCAGAUCUCACGCGUGCAGAUAGCUCAGAUAAAUCACGCAUGGACGGCCCAGAUCGCAUCGCGAUGGAUGGCCCAAAUUUAUUCCUACUUUAAUCGCGAUCGGACGGUCCAGAUUAAAUCGUGAUGGACGACUGAGAUUAAAGGGGGAAGGUUAUAAAUAACCUCACCCACACCCAACCCCAAACCCUAGCCGCUAGUACCCUCGCCGGAGAAGAAUAAACAGUCAUCUGAGGAGCCGGCCGUCGCCACCCGUCGCCGCACUGGAGAAUUUUUUGACCGCCAAAUGAGGUAAAGUUUCUCCC
rnacentral:lncRNA from 1 species